rnacentral:rRNA from 1 species
AGAGUUUGAUCCUGGCUCAGAACGAACGCUGGCGGCGUGGAUAAGACAUGCAAGUCGAACGCUGAUUAUGGGGUAGCAAUAUUCCAUAGUCGGAGUGGCGCAAGGGUGCGUAACACGUGGGUAAUUUGCCGUGAAGUUGGGGAUAACUCGCUGAAAGGCGAGCUAAUACCGAAUGUGAAUGUUGGGAGGCAUCUCUCAAUUUUCAAAGUUGGGGACCGAAAGGCCUGAUGCUUCACGAUAAGCCCGCGGCCUAUCAGCUAGUUGGUGAGGUAACGGCUCACCAAGGCUAAGACGGGUAGCUGGUCUGAGAGGACGACCAGCCACACUGGAACUGAGACACGGUCCAGACACCUACGGGUGGCAGCAGUCGAGAAUUUUUCUCAAUGGGCGCAAGCCUGAAGGAGCGACGCCGCGUGGGGGAUGAAGGGCUUCGGCCCGUAAACCCCUGUCAUUUGCGAACAAUGCGUUUCACCUAACACGUGAAACGUUGAUAGUAGCGAAAGAGGAAGGGACGGCUAACUCUGUGCCAGCAGCCGCGGUGAUACAGAGGUCCCAAGCGUUGUUCGGAUUCACUGGGCGUAAAGGGUGCGUAGGUGGCGGGGUAAGUUUGAUGUGAAAUCUCCAAGCUUAACUUGGAAAUGGCAUUGAAUACUCUCCCGCUAGAGGGUCGGAGGGGAGACUGGAAUUCUCGGUGUAGCAGUGAAAUGCGUAGAUAUCGAGAGGAACACCAGUGGCGAAGGCGAGUCUCUGGACGACACCUGACACUGAGGCACGAAAGCUAGGGGAGCAAACAGGAUUAGAUACCCUGGUAGUCC